GACGAACGCUGGCGGCGUGCCUUACACAUGCAAGUCGAACGGGAUCCAAGGAGUGCUUGCACUCCUGAAGAUCUAGUGGCGAACGGGUGAGUAACACGUGAGAAACCUGCCCCAGACUCUGGGAUAACUUCGGGAAACCGAUGCUAAUACCGGAUAUUCUCCUUUGGUCGCAUGGCCAGUUGAGGAAAGUUUUUCGGUCUGGGAGGGUCUCGCGACCUAUCAGCUAGUUGGUGAGGUAACGGCCCACCAAGGCUACGACGGGUAGCUGGUUUGAGAGAACGAUCAGCCACACUGGAACUGAGACACGGUCCAGACUCCUACGGGAGGCAGCAGUGGGGGAAUCUUGCGCAAUGGGCGAAAGCCUGACGCAGCAACGCCGCGUGCGGGAUGAAGGCUCUCGGGUCGUAAACCGCUUUCAGCAGGGACGAAAAUGACGGUACCUGCAGAAGAAGCUCCGGCUAACUACGUGCCAGCAGCCGCGGUAAAGUCAC
rnacentral:rRNA from 1 species